rnacentral:rRNA from 1 species
UACGUAGGGUGCAAGCGUUGUCCGGAAUUAUUGGGCGUAAAGAGCUCGUAGGCGGUGUGUCACGUCGGCCGUGAAAACCUGCAGCUUAACUGUGGGCGUGCGGUCGAUACGGGCAUCACUGGAGUUCGGCAGGGGAGACUGGAAUUCCUGGUGUAGCGGUGAAAUGCGCAGAUAUCAGGAGGAACACCGGUGGCGAAGGCGGGUCUCUGGGCCGAUACUGACGCUGAGGCGCGGAAAGCCCAGGGGAGGCGAACGGG